GCCCUCGCUAUUUUCAGAAGUUGCUUGGAGUCUUCUUCGUUAGCUCUUCCAUAAAGAACACGGUUCUCAGUGCCUGUACUGAUUUUGCAUGCAAUCGCUCUUUCUCUUACUAUUGAGCCUUCACUAUUUUCAUCAUAAGCUACUGAAUCUGAGAGGAGAAUUUUUUUUGUUACUUUGCUCAGCUCUCCGGUUUACUACAACAUUCUGAUCCAUCAUUUCAAUAAUCCAAAAGGUACGUUAUUUACUUCUGCUGGACAUCAUCAUUCAACAUCAUAUCUUCAUUUAUAGUCGUGUUAAAGUAUUUUACCCUUCUUCUUUUUUUAAACUUUGUGUUAACUAAAAAAUACGAUCUAAAGUAUGAGUUUCAAGUUAUACUAUUCUAUAAAAUUAAUUUAACAAACUAUAUAUUAUUUGAAACAGGAAUGUGCGAAAAUAAAGAUACUAUGGAUUUACGCCGGAGACCUCAAAUAUCUCCGCUCGAUUUGAUUACUUACAUUUCUUCCAAAACCUUUUACAAUUUUGACUAGGUACAUUGCGAUUAUACAUAUAUUCUGUAUGAAGUGCAAACAAGUAAUUUUUGCACAAGCCUUUAUGCCAUUAAAAAUAGAGACUACCUGUUCUUAGAUUUGGAGAUGUGUAAUAUGGAGGAGCAGCACAGUACCAAAGAGGUUAGUAUGAAGAGUUUAUCAGAUGGGCUAAUGAAUCCUUGAUAACUGACAUGGUUCCCAUAAACCGCUGUUUUUAUCUUGCUUUGCCUCCAACUGUACCCCGAGAGAAUAUCUAAUGAAGCUAAUCAUAUUAUCUGCAAAGCAUCCGGCGACUGAGAUUACUUUUCAUAGUUAUAACUAUAACUGUAUUAGUGCAUACAGAUAUGCAAAGAUUUCUUCUUUGAUAUUGGUUCUUUCUUAUGUACUUUUGUGCAACAUUAGGUUCAUAUAAUGUCUUUUAGUACUGCCGUGCUGUGCACAUCUAACAUGUUUGAUCAUAUGCUUGAUUUCAACAGGUUUACCACAAAAUUCUCAUCCAUCAGCCAACAACUACGCUAUUUACUUCUGCUUGACAUCAUGAGCCAACAACAUAUCUCUACAUUUAUAAUCGUGUUAAAUAAAUAUGUUUCAAAUGCAUGCAUUUGUUCUCAUUUGUCUUUCUGUUAGAGUAUUUUACUAUUUUUUAACUUUAUGUUAACAAAAAAAUUAAUUUUGAAGUUUGGUUAUAGAUUAUACUAACCUAAAAAAUUAAUUUAACAAUAGUAUACAUUAUUUUAAGCACGAAUGUCUGAAAACAUAGAUACUGUGAAUUUACGCCAGCGACCUCAAAGGAAGAUCGAAUUGUUGAUAGAAAUUUGCGUCGUCGUGCUAGAUAUGUACAAAUGUUGCCUGCGAGAAAAUAAUUAUUUUUGUCCCAACUACGAGAUAAAAGAGCUGAAUUGAAAAAAUAAAAUCUCAGUGACUUAGGAGAAAUAAAGAAUAUAUAUUUGGAUCUUAGAAGUAGUUCCCAUUUUCAAGAAAGAGGAAAAAGAUCGUGUGAGUGUAAAGUAGUGCGUGUGUGCCUUCUUCUUUUUCCUGAAGUUUUUCCUCUUUCAGAAUAAUAUCCUCUUUUUUAUCAUCCAUCUAACUGCUGAGAUUCUUCUGGUGUUUUAUAUUUUUCUAGCAUAUGGCUGGAGAAAUUGGCAUGUUCUCGAAGUGACUGAAACUUUGUGGUUGCUUCAGCUGUGUAUGGACGCCCUCCUGUAACAAUUUUAUGUGGAUCUUUCUAACUAUCAAAAAAAUUAUUUCCGGGAAUUUUCUUUGGCUCAUUAUGUGCCCAGUGCACAAGCAGUAGCAAAGAAGAACAAGAUAAACAUUCUGCAGCACAAUGCAGUUAUAGAAAAUUUUAGCUUUUACGAAAGAAAGUCUAAUAAUCGAAAUGGUUUAAGUUCUUUUUAUUUUGCAGAAACCACUUCAAGUAGUUGUAUCAAGAAAAGGUGUCCCACCAUAAACAUCAGCAAGAACAGGCAUCUGAUAAUGCAAGAGCUGAAACUUGGGUGUGAUAAUUACAGCUGAGGAAGUAAAGAUUCUUCAAGAGAGACCCUUGAGCAGAAGGAAAGCAAAGAAGACUAGAAAGGUUGCUGUUUAAACUGGAAUGCUGAAUUUUUUGUUUACUCCACUGACUUUGGGAGACUUGGAUCUGUUAAAUAGAGAUCAUGUAAGUCUGGAUAAUUGUACUUACGCAACCUAGAAAAACCUCUGACUUUGGUCUGAGGUUCAUUAUAAUAACUGAGAUUACUUAUUGUUAAGAAGCCAGAUCGUAGGGCAGAAGUUUUCACCAAAAUCAAUGUUAGUUCUUAUUUAGGACAGUGCUUUGGGAAUCUCCUACUCUGCUGCAAAAAUGCGUAGUCAUUUACAUUCA